CGCUUCACGCUCACCUCAUCAUUCUUUUCCAAACGACGCUCCACCCUCACUUCCCUUUCCAACGCAACUCUGCCCUCCAAAGAACCGAUUAUAAAGAUGACGAUUCAGUCCCCAAGGCAACGAUUCAGGCGAUUCUUAACCUUAGGGUUUAUAAGUGAUCGCUCCUGUUAGGCGAUUCAUAAAUGAUUCAGGCGAUCCUUGAGGGCACGAUUUCAAUUCAAAUCUCUGAUUGCGUGUGGAACUUUUGAACUAUGGAGGUUUUCAAGCUCUGUUUGAUUCAAAGUUGGAAGUUCAUUGUUGGAAGACUCAAGACCCGAUUCAAGGUGAUCCAUUGACUGGUCUAGUGAGCAAGAAAAGGGUAGAAUAGAGGUCAGGUACUGCAUCAAGUACACAUCCAGGAGAUCUGUGAAAAGAAUCACCUGCAAAAAGCAAACCACACUUUCAAAUGUAAGUAAAUCCAUUUUUCAUGAACUUUGUUGUAGUUAAUUUUAGUUUGUGGUUAAUUGAAUUUGUAAGGAAUCUCCAUUUUAACUUAAGUGUUGGAGAUCUCCUAGCUGUCCUUUUUUAAAUUCAAAAUUUGUAUCAUGAAAUGAAAUGUGAUUACAAAUGUCGCUAUUGUAGAAAUGAAAUGUGAUUAGAUUUUAAGAUG